rnacentral:rRNA from 2 species
UAACUCUCGGCAAACGGAUAUCUUGGCCCUCGUAACGAUGAAGAGCGCAGCGAAAUGCGAUACGUAGUGUGAAUUGCAGAAUUCCGUGAACCAUCGAGAUCUUGAACGCACCUGGCGCCCGAGGCAUCCGCCGAGGGCACGUCCGUCUGAGCGUCG